AUUGGAUCCAGACUUUGAUUCUGCUCAGGAUGAACGCUAGCUACAGGCUUAACACAUGCAAGUCGAGGGGAAACGAUAGAGAAAGCUUGCUUUUUCUAGGCGUCGACCGGCGCACGGGUGAGUAACGCGUAUCCAACCUGCCCAUCACUUGGGGAUAACCUUGCGAAAGUAAGACUAAUACCCAAUGACGUCCAUAGAAGACAUCUGAAAUGGAUUAAAGAUUUAUCGGUGAUGGAUGGGGAUGCGUCUGAUUAGCUUGUUGGCGGGGUAACGGCCCACCAAGGCGACGAUCAGUAGGGGUUCUGAGAGGAAGGUCCCCCACAUUGGAACUGAGACACGGUCCAAACUCCUACGGGAGGCAGCAGUGAGGAAUAUUGGUCAAUGGACGAGGGUCUGAACCAGCCAAGUAGCGUGCAGGAUGACGGCCCUAUGGGUUGUAAACUGCUUUUAUAAGGGAAUAAAGUGAGAGUCGUGACUCUUUUUGCAUGUACCUUAUGAAUAAGGACCGGCUAAUUCCGUGCCAGCAGCCGCGGUAAUACGGAA
rnacentral:rRNA from 1 species